UGGGGAAUCUUGCGCAAUGGGCGAAAGCCUGACGCAGCAACGCCGCGUGCGGGACGACGGCCCUCGGGUUGUAAACCGCUUUCAGCAGGAACGAUGAUGACGGUACCUGCAGAAGAAGCUCCGGCCAACUACGUGCCAGCAGCCGCGGUAAUACGUAGGGAGCAAGCGUUGUCCGGAUUUAUUGGGCGUAAAGAGCUCGUAGGCGGUUCGGUAAGUCGGGUGUGAAAACGCUGGGCUCAACCCGGAGAGGCCACUCGAUACUGCCGUGACUUGAGUCUGGUAGGGGAGCACGGAAUUCCUGGUGUAGCGGUGAAAUGCACAGAUAUCAGGAGGAACACCGGUGGCGAAGGCGGUGCUCUGGGCCAGUACUGACGCUGAGGAGCGAAAGCGUGGGGAGCGAAC
rnacentral:rRNA from 1 species